UUUUAUGACACUUCUUUGUCUCAUUUCUAUCACUAUUUUGUAAUCUAUAUCUAUGGUCUCCACUUGCACAUAUCAUACUCAUUUUGUGAUUCUUAAUUAGUCUCAAUCAAUUGCAUAUUUUAGGAAAUUUUGCUUUAAUUUGAAAAAAUAAAAAAAUAACAUCCGGACUUAAAAAACUAACUUUGCAUCAAAAUUACAAUUAUAUAUUUGUCU
rnacentral:lncRNA from 1 species